rnacentral:rRNA from 1 species
AGAUUGAACGCUGGCGGUAUGCUUAACACAUGCAAGUCGAACGGCAGCACAGGGUAGCUUGCUAUCCGGGUGGCGAGUGGCGGACGGGUGAGUAACGCGUAGGAAUCUACCUUUUCGUGGGGGAUAACCCGGGGAAACUCGGGCUAAUACCGCAUACGCCCUACGGGGGAAAGCGGGGGACCUUCGGGCCUCGCGCGGAACGAUGAGCCUGCGUCCUAUCAGGUAGUUGGUGAGGUAAUGGCUCACCAAGCCGACGACGGGUAGCUGGUCUGAGAGGACGACCAGCCACACUGGGACUGAGACACGGCCCAGACUCCGUACGGGAGGCAGCAGUGGGGAAUAUUGGACAAGUCGGGGGAAACCCUGAUCCAGCAAUACCGCGUGUGUAGAGAAGGCCGUUACGGGUUGUAAACGUCUACGUUUUUAGACGUAAGGAAAGGUAAAGGACGUUGU